CGGUAGGUUGCCUCCAGUGCACGCGACCGAGAGGAGAGAGCUUGCGACAGAUAGAUCAAUAUAGGAUGGUGCCGAGUGCUGCGUGUGUAUGGAAGCGAGCUUUUCGCUAACGAACUCUGGACGAUCACAGCGCCAUGAAAAUGGAAGAUGAGUGGAGUAGUCGAUGGAUUUACGAACACACUCGCAUAUUUUCCCGCGUCACAGUGAUAACCAAUUCAAUAUCAAUAAUCAAAAAUAACACUUAUUUCCGAAGUUACACUUUUAUAUCAAGUAUAACAAUAAAAUACCAUGCCCGGUCGAAGGGACUGUACACUCCGUCAACUCCGUGUAUUUGGAGACAAAACAUAACCUCAUUUUAUCACAAUUGGAUACGUAAAUAAUAAUUCACAGAAAUUGUGUAAUGUAUUCUAAGCAUUUCGCAAAUGUAACGAAUUGUAAAAAAAAAUAUCAAACUCCGGACUGCGGUUUCGAUAGAUGCUGAUAUGGUUAUAAUUAUCAUUGGUUCGUCGAGGUUAUCAUCACGCAAUAAUAUAAUUGUUGAACAUCAAUUUUGUAAUAUUUUUUAAAUAAACGAUGCCACAUGUCUCCA